AAAAAAGGCUGACUUACAAAUAAGUCACAUAUAGGAGAGAUACGAGCACUGAAUCCCCUUUACCAGGUUAGGUUUUUAUCUCAGACAAAUCUACCAGGAUCUAUGAUCUGUUAAUGUCCGUUUUAUAUUAUUACUGUACUUUUUUAACACGAUCCCAAAUUUUCUUGGUUCAUGGCACUGUAUUUCCAUGAACUAUAUAACAGUGAUGUGUUUGUUAAUGAAACUAUUGUAGGUUUUGAUGUCAUUAUAGGUAAAAUAGAGGCAUAGUGACCUAGCAGUUACGAUGCUGAGCUUGUCAGCUGGAACGAUGACAAUUCAAGACAGAGGCAUUGCAAGACGGGGGAAACAUAAAAUGAAGCUUUCUGGUAUCUUUAUGGUGGAGCUGAAACAGUGGUUGAAUCUCCAAAUCAAGCAAUGAUGGGCAGGAGAAUAAAGAUUCCUAUGAACAGUUCCAAGGGAUCACUGCUGGAGACAGAAUGGAGACAUCUGCAAUUGGAAUAGAAGUAGAAAAAUAUGCGAAAAAACAGUCUGACAAUUGGAAUCAGGAAAGUUCAUCUACCACUGCUGCACCAAUGUAAGACUUUGUGGUCCCACAAGGAAAAAUAAAGAUAUAUAUUGGGAAACAAAUCAAAGACAAAUUAGACGCAAAUGGAUGCUAUCCAGCCCAAAUUAACAAAGAGAACAUAUUCAGAGACAAUGGAAAAAAAAUUACAACUG